rnacentral:rRNA from 1 species
UACAGAGGGUGCGAACGUUGCUCGGAAUCACUGGGCGUAAAGCGCGUGUAGGCGGACCAGAAAGUCAGGUGUGAAAUCCCUGGGCUCAACCUAGGAACUGCAUCUGAAACUUCUGGUCUGGAGUGUCGGAGAGGGAAGCGGAAUUCCGGGUGUAGAGGUGAAAUUCGUAGAUAUCCGGAGGAACACCGGUGGCGAAGGCGGCUUCCUGGACGACUACUGACGCUGAGACGCGAAAGCGUGGGGAGCAAACAGG